UGUAGAAAUGACUUGUCGACAAUCGAUAAUGUUUAUAAAGGAAACGAAAAUGGAAAUUCUUUUUAACCAAGAGGACUAUUUCUAAAGUUUGAAGAUCUAUUUGUAUUUAUCUAUUCAAGGUCCAGUCAAUUUAUUACUUUAGACCCUUGUCCAGUCAAUGUGACCCUCGUCCAGUCAUUAUCCUUGUCCAGUCAAGUUGUUAUAGAUUGAACAUCUAUUAUUUGUAUUUGAUCCUUGUCCAGUCAAUUAGAUAUUUGUCCAGUCAAUGUAAACCUUGUCCAGUCAGUGUGAACAUUGCCCAGUCUAGUUGCUAUUAUUGGGAGAUAACACAGAUAACAC